rnacentral:lncRNA from 1 species
GAUAAACUGCCAAACCAGAACUUUACACCCAGAGAAAAUCUCUUUAAGAUAAAAACAAAAUACAGACAUUUUCAAAAUGACAAAGUUUAUUAUCAAUGGGCCCUAAACUGUUAAAGAACGAUUUUAAGGAAAAUGAUCCCCAAAAGAAGGUCAGAGAUAUAAGAAAAAGUAAGCAAAGAAAAAGGAGGAGGAGAAGAAACAGGCUUACACUAAGGGAAUCCAAUGUGCAGACAGACACACAGGGAAGGUGACCAUUUGAAGACAGAGGCAGAGACUGGAGUUGUGCAACUGCAAACCAAGAAAUGCCAAGGACUGCCGACAACCACCAGAAACUAGACGAGGCAAGGUAAGGUUCAGCAAAGUCUAUGUCAUUCUCUAAUGCUUUUGAUCCAGCGGAUUCUUGGGAAGAAUUUGAAUACAUAUUGGAUUUUGCAUCCAGGUUUGCAAGAGGAAAAUACAAAGGUGACUUCUGGGCCUGCUGGAGGUGGAGGGUAGAGGAUGGACAGCUGACAUCUAGUCACAGAGGAAAGAACACAGAAAGAGAUCUCCAGUUAAAGCUGAUAGAUUGAACCACACACAACCCACCUCCUUCUAAAAUCCCUCUAGAACAAUGGUUUAAAAAAAGUACUUUCACAUAAAACUUCAAAAUCAAAAAGAUAAGGAAAAUGAUGAAAACCACUCAGAUAAGAAGAGAGGAUAUUUAUGCAGAGGCUGCUGUCGUUGGGAGUCCACCACCAUACCACCAUACUUUGGUGAGACUUGAAGGCAGGCAGGGAGUGGAAACACUUUAUGCUGUAGUGAAAAAAGGGGAAGGCUUCGGUAUGCUCUGACUGGAGAUCAUUGUCAUGGGGAAACUGCAGGUGGGCUAACUAGAGGCUGGGCUUCUUGUGUAAUGGUUUGGCUUUCUCUGGUUGGUCCUGUGUUGAAAAUAGGGGCAAAAUAUAGGGAAGCUGACUCAUUGACAAAGCCCUGCCCAGGCUGGCUGAUUGCAGAGGUUGUGGGUCAGAGUUCUAUUGUCAUAUAUGGUCUGGCUACUGUCUGUUUAUAUAAUCCGUCUCUCAGAGGACAGUAGAGGAGAUCAAAUUAUUAACAUUUUGGAAGCUGGAAAGCAGGAGGAUAGUGUGAACUGAAUUAGCAGACUUGCCAUCUAUCAAAGGGGAUAGCCAAAAGCAAGCCAGAUUUGCCCCAGAGAACCACCAAAGGUUCAAGAAUUGGCAGCACCAGGUACCCCCAGAAGCAGGGAUAAAGAGGGGGCUGAAAUUGGACAGUUGGUUCAAAGUCUAUUUCAGAAGCAUUAGACCACUGGAUUUCUUCCCUAGCUCCCAAAUGACUACCUGGUGCAGAAGACUCAGGAUUGAUUUCCUGGAGAGGGUAGAUAGUUCUUUGUCUAGUUAAGGAUGGGGUGCCAUAACAAACAUGCCAAUUCAGUGAAAAUACCUACUUUCAAGACUCCUGCUUGACUCCCCUAAAUCAACAGCCAAUGUUAGAAGCCAAGUGUUAAAGUUUUUCAGAUAAUUUUGCUAUAAGCCUGUGGGGAAAUUUCAUUACCAUCUCAUAGCAAGGCCUAUAGUAGCAUAUGGGGGAAAAGUCUAAAAGACUUUGAAAUGGACCAAAAGAUUAUUGAGAAAUGGAAAAUUGCAUUGUUUUAAGUAUCCCUUUCCAAUUUAUCAGAUUCUGUGGGGUUUAUACCUUUCAUUGUCUUUGAGGUAUUUAACAAUUCUGAAGAGAUAGACUCUAACUUGUAGAAAACUAAGAGUAACAUAAAUAAAUAUUAUCGUCUUUAGAUAUACAAAUAAAUUCUGUUCUGAG